UGUGCGCAUGUGCGCUCCGCUCACCCUCGCGUGGGCGGCCUCCCCUAGCCAAUCAUUGUCCACCGCGCCCAGGAGGCCCUGGAGAAAUGGCCGGCCAGUUGGAGCGUCUGGGGCCGCUGGAAGCCGUGGAGCCGGCGGAAGGACCAGUCAGGUCUUCGAAGAAGACUGAAGACUUGGUGACGAUGGUGACAAAGCUGCAGAAAGAAGGGAGCUUGGAGCCCCAGAUCGAGGACCUGAUUAACCGGAUUAACGAGCUUCAGCAAGCUAAGAAGUCCAGCGAGGAGGUGGGAGAGGCCCAGGCUCUCUGGGAAGCCCUGCGCAGGGAACUGGACUCCUUGAAUGCAGAGAAAGCGCACCUAGAGGAGGUCUUGAACAAAAAGCAAGAGGCGCUGUGGAUGCUCCAGCUGCACUGCCAAGAGAAAGAAAGCGAGGCUCAGAGAUUGGAUGUCCAAGGCCAGCUGGACGAUGGCAUGGGCCAGCACAAAGACCUCUGGGAAUUCCACAUGCUAGAGGAGAGACUGGCCCGGGAGAUCGGCGCGCUACGGAGCAGCCAGGAGCAGCUGCAAUCGGAGCAGUCGCAGGUGCGCGCCAAGCUGCAGGAGGUGGAGCAGCGGCUGCGCUCGCCGCCCGAGGCCCGGGGUCUCCCGGCUGAAGACGACGGCAGUUGACCGAACGAACGGUCCCGAAAAUCGUCCAGUAUGGUGAUCUCUGAGCGUUGGCAUCAGCAAUCCACUGCCAAGUUCCAGUUCAGUGUCUUCCUCUGCUUGUCUGCUGCUGCAGUUAACCAGAUAAGUAAGAGAAGAAACAGCUUCAUGGCACAGUGAGUGAAGCUUGCAUCUGCACCACAAGCAUCGCAUGUGGGCACUGGUUCCCUGGUUGCUCCACUUCCAAUCCAGCUCUCUGCUAAUGCACCCAAGAAAGCAGCUGAAGAUGUCCCAAGUACUUGGGCUCCUGCCACCUGCAUGGGCGACCAGGAUAGCCACUUGAAGAGUAAACCAGCUAUGGAAGAUCUCUUUGUCUUUGUCUCUCCCUCCCUCUCUAACUUUAAA